GUUAUUCUGAGGUGCUUUUCAAUUGAGUUUAUCAACGUGUCUUCAGCCGACCCCCAUCGCCAACACCUCUUCAAGUCUUUGCAGAAUUCAAUUGCUUAUCUGGGGAAAAUCUGAGAUUUGAGUUCUAUGCAGCGUUGGACACGCAUUCUGCACGUUUGAUUGAAAUUUUUCAGAGAAAAGGAGGAAAUCAGGGAAGAACACUUGAUGAAAUUUUGCAUCAUGUUGACUCAAGUACUUCAGGGCCUUCCAAUCCUCCUGGGGGAUGACCCAGAGCAAUUUUUCAGGAUGAGCUUCGAUUCAGAUGUAGAUGCAGACUUCAGUGAAGUAGAUGUUGGACUGCUCACAGUUUUACCUGAAGGCAUGCCUGCCUCAACAUGGAUGCCAUGAUGUCCCAAAUUUGCCACAUGCUGUAUGUCUCCUCUUUGCUCUGAUCUAUGCUCUAAAUUUAGACCAUCCAAAGACAAUGAGGAAGACAUUUGAUUUUAUUCAACGGGUAUUUCUUUCUUUGAGAGGAAAGUAAAGGCUUUUUUGGAGUUUGCACAGUGCCUGUUCUGCAAAUGCUCUGUACCUUGUUUUAGGUCCAGAUAUUAUGUUGUCAUGCAGCAGAGUGCUGCAAGAGGUCUAAGUUUUGAGAACAGAUUGUUUU